GAACAGAAAGGGGAAAAGGCCAGCCGAUGCCUCCUCCGCAGACGGAGAUGAAAGCGGCGGAGGAAAUAGAACUGAAAAGAGUGUCAUCAAUGAUUCUCGAUUUGCGGCGUUGCACUCGGAUCCUAGAUUCCGCGAACCACCGCAGAAAAAGUCUAAAGUUACCAUUGAUUCUCGAUUUAAUCGUAUGUUCACUGAUAAAAACUUCGUAUCAUCAAAAGCACCGACUGAUAUUAGAGGCAAACCCCGUAAAUCUUCUGCUAAAAACCCUCUUAACCAUUAUUACCAUAUUGAGGAAGAAAAAGAAGAACAGGGUGAGAAACAGAAGAGGCAGAAGGAGAAAUUAAAGGUGUUAGAAUCUGAAAGCGAUGAUGACAGUGAAGAA
rnacentral:misc_RNA from 1 species